rnacentral:lncRNA from 1 species
CACCUCAUCCGGAGACCUCCACACGGAGGCUUUGAAAACUCCUUCCAAGAAGACAAUGGCUCUGGGUGGUGGGGGAGAGGUGUUCCAGCAGCUGACCUCAAGGCCUGUGGCCGUCCCUGGAUGAUUUUGUCAGGUUUUGGUGGAAAGCGCAGCGGGCAGGGGAGGCCCUGGCUUCUCAUUAGCCUAUGGCCACCCCGACUGGCCGGCAGCUCAGGCCAGGCUGUGUUUGCCCCAUGCAGCGGCAGUCUGGGGUGGCCGGGCCUUGCUCACUCGGGGACUCGGGGUGCCUUGGCCUCAGGGUGUGGGACUGAACACGCGGAAUGGCUGUGGAGUUCCACGACUCAGGCACAGGGCCCUGACCUCAUGUGCCCAACAUCUCUGACCCCACCAGAAGUGGUACGCAGGGAGCCUGGGGCUUGGCGCUCCCCACUGGCCGCAGCCAACGUCCACAAGAGGAAGCUGUGGGCCUCACCUGGCAAUCUUGUCCGUGCAGGACAUGGUGACCAGCUGCUCCCCCAGCAGGACGCCGUCCCAGGUCUGCACUGCACUGGGGCCACGCACGGGGACUGUCCCUUCCCCGGACUCGAUCUUGGUGCGCAGGUGCCCGCGGAACUUCCUGACGAGGUGUUUGCUGCUGUGCACUAGGAGAGAAGAGGACGGGGAGGGGUGAGAAGAGGGAAGCCGCCUUGGUUUUGGGAGGUGGGAGAGGAGGAAGGACUGCAACAGAGGUCCAAGGGCCCCUCGCCAUGGCCGGGCAUUUGGCACGAGGAAGGGGCGUCACAAGUUAGCGCUGUGUGGGGGUGGGCUCCAGAGACACACCAUCCCGCCUGGGCUGGGCCAACUUCCCAGUCAAGGGUCAGGGAGUAAAAACCCAGGCUUCAUGAGCCAGACUCUCUUUUCACCAACACCUGCCGCUGCUGCGUAAACGCAGCCACGGCCUGGACCGUGCUCAGGCUAGUGAGGGGCCACUGCGUCCUCAAUGCUUCAUUUUCCUUCGUGGACUUGAAUACGCAGUUGGAUGUGUCGUUUUCAGGUGUCGUGAAAUAUCAUUUUUCUCACUUUUCAGCCAUUAAAAAUGUAAAUAUUUAUGCUUAGCUGGAGGGCUGUGCAGAAGUAGGCGGUGAGUGGGAC